rnacentral:rRNA from 1 species
GACGAACCGAGCGAACGUUGUUCGGAAUCACUGGGCUUAAAGGGCGCGUAGGCGGGUGCUCAAGUCCGGGGUGAAAUCCUCCAGCUCAACUGGAGAACUGCCUCGGAUACUGGGUGCCUCGAGGGUGGUAGGGGUAUGCGGAACUAUCGGUGGAGCGGUGAAAUGCGUUGAUAUCGAUAGGAACACCGGUGGCGAAGGCGGCAUCCUGGACCGGCAUUGACGCUGAUGAGCGAAAGCCAGGGGAGCAAACGGG